GACGAACGCUGGCGGCGUGCUUAACACAUGCAAGUCGAGCGGUAAGGCCCUUUCGGGGGUACACGAGCGGCGAACGGGUGAGUAACACGUGGGUGACCUGCCCUCAGCUCUGGGAUAAGCCUGGGAAACCGGGUCUAAUACUGGAUAUGACUCCAUGACGCAUGUUGUGGGGUGGAAAGCCUUGUGCGGCUGAGGAUGGGCCCGCGGCCUAUCAGCUUGUUGGUGGGGUGANGGCCUACCAAGGCGACGACGGGUAGCCGGCCUGAGAGGGCGACCGGCCACACUGGGACUGAGACACGGCCCAGACUCCUACGGGAGGCAGCAGUGGGGAAUCUUGCGCAAUGGGCAAAGCCUGACGCAGCGACGCCGCGUGAGGGAUGAC
rnacentral:rRNA from 1 species